rnacentral:snRNA from 1 species
CUUGCUACCUGGCAGGGGAGAUACCAUGCUCACGAAGGUGGUUUUCCCAGGGUGAGGCUCACCCAUUGCACUCCGGGUGUGCUGACCCCUGUGAAUUCCCCAAAUGUGGGAAGGUCAACUGCAUAGAUUUGUGGUAGUGGGGGACUGCGUUCACGAAAAG